GCCUGGGUGGCGGAACUGGUAGACGCAAGGGACUUAAAAUCCCUCGAAACCUGGUUUCAUGCGGGUUCGAUUCCCGCCCCAGGCACCA
rnacentral:tRNA from 2 species